AUUACCUGCCCCUAUGAUUAUCUAGGUGGUUUUAAGUGCAAUAGCAGAUUUCUUUGCUAUACCUACCUGCCAAAAUCACCAGGGGAACGACUUCACUAUAAACCUUGCGGUUCUGACUCCCGCAGGGGGUUAAGCUGCAGCUCGGACAAGCUUCCACCUUGUGACCAUUUCUAUCUCCUCUCCCCCCCCCCCCCUUGUUGCAUCCCAUUUGUCUUCGCUGACAUGGUUUGUUAUUCCACAAUUGUUGGUACCAGAGAAGAUCUGACCAAUCAUAAGACAGGGAAGCUGACCUGAAGAAUGACCUAAGUGGACGUGUACAGGAAUUAGAAAUGUAUAAUUAUUUCAUGUGUGACACUAUGGUCAUUAUCAUCUUGAAGUUUCGCUGUCUAGCUUGUAAAUGAUUGUCAUGACCUCCUGACCAUUGUCUAUAAUUACAUAGACAAGUUUAUC